CCUACGGGAGGCAGCAGUCGAGAAUCAUUCACAAUGGGGGAAACCCUGAUGGUGCGACGCCGCGUGGGGAAUGAAGGUCUUCGGAUUGUAAACCCCUGUCAUGUGGGAGCAAAUUAAAACGAUAGUACCGCAAGAGGAAGCAACGGCUAACUCUGUGCCAGCAGCCGCGGUAAUACAGAGGUCGCAAGCGUUGUUCGGAAUCACUGGGUGUAACGCGUGCGUAGGCUGUUUCGUACGUCGGGUGUGAAAGGCGCGGGCUCAACCCGCGGACGGCACAUGAUACUGCGAGACUAGAGUAAUGGAGGGGGAACCGGAAUUCUCGGUGUAGCAGUGAAAUGCGUAGAUAUCGAGAGGAACACUCGUGGCGAAGGCGGGUUCCUGGACAGUAACUGACGCUGAGGCACGAAGGCCAGGGGAGCGAAAGGGAUUAGAUACCCCAGUAGUC
rnacentral:rRNA from 1 species